AGAGCGAACGCUGGCGGCAGGCCUAACACAUGCAAGUCGAGCGCCCCGCAAGGGGAGCGGCAGACGGGAGAGUAACACGUGGGAACGUACCCUUUGGUUCGGAACAACACAGGGAAACUUGUGCUAAUACCGGAUAAGCCCUUACGGGGAAAGAUUUAUUGCCAAAGGAUCGGCCCGCGUCUGAUUAGCUUGUUGGUGAGGUAACGGCUCACCAAGGCUACGAUCAGUAGCUGGUCUGAGAGGAUGAUCAGCCUCACUGGGACUGAGACACGGCCCAGACUCCUACGGGAGGCAGCAGUGGGGAAUAUUGGACAAUGGGCGCAAGCCUGAUCCAGCCAUGCCGCGUGGAUGAUGAAGGCCCUAGGGUUGUAAAGUCCUUUCGACGGGGAAGAUAAUGACGGUACCCGUAGAAGAAGCCCCGGCUAACUACGCGCCAGCAGCCGC
rnacentral:rRNA from 1 species